ensembl:lncRNA HISLA HIF1A stabilizing long noncoding RNA
AGGACUUCCCAAGAGUGUCCCAUGGAACCUGAGUUCUAAGGACGGUACAUGAAAAAAAUCAACAUGGGUUCCAUGAUCAAAGAAGUUUGGGAAAUGGGCUAAAUGAAAGGACUUCCAAGGCCUUUUAUCUGCUAAUGAGAAAGAACAAGCCCUGUGAAAAACAAGCUGCUGUCCCUGCUAGAGGCAUCCUGCAAUCCAUGGAUGUUUAUCACCAAGCCAUUGUUAACAUGAGGGUCCAUGGAGGCUAACGGACAAAAAUAUUCUCCAGGAGGUCAGAGCCAAGAGACAGAGGAAAAUGAGGAAGAAAGUUCCUUGCAGAGGACAGACCCAGGGUCUAUCAAAACAUUUUCUUCUAGGGUUUGGGGAUCUUUGCAAUACCUACCCUACAGGAUUCCAUUAUUGCUCUGGACCAGGGAAUUCUUUAGGCAUUUUUAGUGUGGUUAGCCAGUCCACUUUUGUGUAUUGAAUAGGCAGAUGGAGCAAAGAUAACUGGUCUUUUAGUUCAAAGGAUGCUGAACUUCAAGGAACUGUAUCUGGACUUUCAGAAGAGGCCAGAGCAUCAUUUGGAGAUCCUCGACUUUGAUAUCAACAAGUAGACAAUUCAAUAAGUGGACAAAAUUUUGGGUUUUCUCCCCAGAGUAAUAUGCACGUAUGUUUUAUGUAAAGGAUGAUAGCAGCAAAAGGGGCUAACUGUGAUAGAGGUUGCUAGCUACCUACUAAAAAUCCAUUCUCCCCUUCUUACUGGCACAGAGCUAAACUGCAUUACUCAGCCUCCCUCGCAGUGAAGUGGCCAAGUUUUCUUCAGUGAAACAUGAUUGCAGUGACACAUGUCACCUCUACGUUUGGCCCAUACAAACCUCACACUUAUCCCAAUAUGUUCUUUCUUUCUACUGGUUGAUUGGUGUGGCAAAGCUUUGUAUAACUUCUAGAUGCCACAUAUUGAGGAUGGCAGAGCUAUCCCCAAAUGGCUCUAUAGGGACCACUAAGUGACUGUGGAGGAGAGCUGACAUCAAUCCAAAUCCUAUUAUAAAAACUUUUUGUUUUUAA